ACUAUCUGUCCCGUCGUCCCGCGCGCGUACAACCACCGCUGAAGCACACAGUCACCGUAAAUAGCACCAACCAACAGAACAUUAUUUUUUUGUUUGUCGGUCUGAACGCGUCACAUUAAAUUACUUUGUUUUCCAAUUCCGAGUCACGCGUACGUACCGAUCWUCUUCCGAGUGCAAUAAUAUAAAUACAGAUCGKCGUCUGCAAUAUUUUAAAAUCAUCAUCAUCAUCAUCAUCGCCACCGCCGGUAGUUAAAUAUUACGGCGAGUUCGGUCACCGCGACGAGUAAAUACAUUCCGAUUCCAUACCCCGGAAACAAUUUAUGCACAGAAGAUUGUGCAUACGCGCAGCCCAAGACAGUAGAAAUGACAGACAGCAUGACGCGGAACUUCAAUAAUUACCCUUCCACGGCAAAACCAGAACAACAAGUCUCCAAAAAA